rnacentral:tRNA from 1 species
CUUGGGCAGGGUCGCGAGGUCCAGGCCCGCGGCCUCCAGUGCCGUGUCGAUCCGGGUCCGCGCGGCGGCCCUGCGUUCGGAGCGCGGGCGGAGC